rnacentral:lncRNA from 1 species
UAUAAGCAAAGAACACAGACUAUUAUAUGAUCUAUUUAAAACUUUAUUAAAACUGAAUAAACAAUUAUUUCAUAAUAAAUACUAUAUCUAAACCAAACUCAUGAUUAAUAGUAUAUAUCCCAACAGGAAUGACUAAUAAAAUUUGUCAGCUCGUAGAAAAUCAGCUAGCCUGUUGUGGAUUCAACCCCAAAGAUUGAAAUACAUAACCAAUCAAUUGGCGAGGAACGCAGUACGCAAAGGCUUGACUAAAAUAUUCGAAAAGCAUACUAGAAAACUAAGUUAAUAGGAACCAAAUACGUUAGCGACUUCCACAUAAGAUCACGUGCUCCCUUCUAAUCUUUUCUAACAUGCUUUUCAUAACUCAAAGCAAUGACUUCAAAUAAAGAUUUUCUAAUUAGAGCCGAACACCAACAAAAAAUUUAAAUGCGUAUAUGACUAAUAAUAAGACCAACAUGGUGCAUUAGAAUAUGAAAAAUAGUCACAUAUUUGGAGAUGAGCUACUGAUAGCUUAACUAAAACUAAUGCAUACAACCAGGUAGUGUAAGGGAUCUUCCACAUUAAACCAGCAGGACUUCUUUUCAGCAGAAUCGAUUAACCCUUUCAAAUAAUUCAGUAAAAACUAUUCCACCUUCAACUAAUGAUUUGUCCCCUUGACCAACAAAUAUUCUUGCAAUUGAAGUGUAUCUUCAAACCGACCUUUGCAAACUCUAGGACACCCCAAUAGUUUUUAGAACCAAGAUAUUUUAAUUGGAUGCAUGGAGUUUGCAUGACCUCGAUAAUCAAGGUUGUGCAGGUAGAAGAAACCUUCAGCAUCUUUCAUUUUAUGCACUACUGGAGAAGCAAACCUUAGAAGGAAAAUCCAACAUAUACAAAAAUGAUAUGAUUUGUGAUUACAAUUCUGUCCCAAUAAAAUUUUAUAUAUACUUUCAGAUGUUAUUGGAAGUAUUAGCAUCUUAAAAGACAAUAUAGAAAAGCAAUUGGAACCUACAAGAAGUUUGAGCUCGACGUCACAGCGUUGUGAGAAGUUUAUCUAGUCUCCUCUUGACAGAUUUUGGUAUCCAAUUCCACUUCGCGAGUAGUGCAUCAUCUUCUAUACCUGGUUCUUUUGGCAAAGAACUUGGAAAAAUAUUAUAAAACAUGAAUAGGUGCGGAAGUUUCUUUUAUACAGAGAAACAGACACUUUGGCAAAUAAAAUCAAGUAGAGGAGUUGAAGCAACAGAUUCACUACACAGUAAGCAUAUUAGGAUCUAUUUAUUCAUACGACUCAGGAAAAGGAAGCUUCUCUUUCUUUUAAUUUGAAGGACAGAAAACAGACACAUUGAUGUAUGACGCAAAGAAAGAAAGGGACUUUACUAUAGCACUAAUUUUUUAUAAUUUGAGGCACACAGAAAAGAUUAAAGAUUGUAAUCAAACAUACCAUACCUUCUAUCUCAGUAUUAGUAAUUAGUUCUUCAGUCACCUUAUCCUUUGUAGUGGACUCCUUAGUAGGCGAAUUUGAAAUGGUGGGUUCAAAGUUCACGCUUUCUUCUGAUUUCUCUAUUCUAUUUCGUUCUCUUAAAACUUCUUCAUCUUUCACUGUAUAAUCUGCAAGAGAACAAAGAAUAGAUAAGUAACUUAACAGGAUUCAACAACGUUUCCAUCAAGUUCUAUUUACUCUGUCAUAACAAUGCUGCCCUUUUCGGUUUAUCCCAAAAUAGGUACUCAUAUUAAAGAGGAAAGUUCCUCCCUCAACAUUUAAACUGGUGCCAAAUACAUAUUACAUUAUAUUGUUUCAAACUUAACGUGACAUCUUACCAACUAAUAUUUAAUUUUUUCAUAUUUGAAACAUUAUGUUUAACACUUCCAAACAGAUCCCACCAAACUGCAUAAGACAACCUAUCCAAACAUCUCACUCUCAAUAACAACAAAAUAUGUAUCUUUAAUGGGACAUAUCCAUGGGGACUUUAAUUUAGUAGCCAUAUUAGUUAUUACUUAGUUGUUGAAGAAAUAGGUGAUAUCAUUAUUUACGGAGAGUUGAGAAAGAAAAUUCAUGAUUUAGCACAAAUGCACAACUCAGGCAAAUCAACAAGUGGAGCAGGUAUCCACAAGAGAGUAUUCUCGUUGGAUGUUAGCUGUUUCACUGAAGCCGGCAUAGAGGUGGGUAACAUUAAAUAUGACCGUUUUCUUGCAUUGUGAUAACUCGACUUACCUCCCAAAGAGAGCUUUAGCGGCACAUACAUUACAUGGUGACAUAAAAUGGUUAUAUAAGUGAUUUGUCAGUAUAUAAAAAAUCAAGGAGAAUAGAUAUCUCAUCAGGCAUUUCAAAAUUUUAUGAGACCAAAAAGGAAGCCAAAAUUUAAUCAGGAAACUUAUGCAGGAAAAAAAUAUCUCGACUCCUUACAUGUCCAGCUAAAAGGUCUAAGUUGUCCAGCUUUAAAAUAAACUAUUGCAUGAUUUUCACCACCUAAAUCAAUUCAUUCUCCUUAGCACAUAUACUGUAAUAGGAUAGUGUCAUGCAUGAAACUCCUCUUACCAAGAAACACUACUUUUUUUUUAUAUCAUGUUCUGAAAUUAUAUAUUUAAUUUGACCAAUUAUGACUGAAAAUUAACUCUCGAAAUGGAAUACCAUUUUGAAAGACAAAACAAAUCCUGAAACAAAUAUCAUAAAAAAUUGUAUGGAUGAGAGCAGUAUGCAAAAAUAUCACUUAAUUUCAGUAGGCUCCAUUCGGAUUAGCUGUCUUAAUCAUUCAAGGGUCGUCCAAGAUCUCCUGAACGGAAAGUCGCUUCAAUAUCAUUCACAAGAUCCUGGACAAACAAAUAUAGCUACAUCAUGCAUCAUUCUUCACAAAAUUUAUGCAAAUAUAUCUUCUAAUAAGCUUAUAUGGCAAUGAGAUACUUAGCUUCAGCAGAGACAUCAGAUGAUAUCUCUAAUUAAACAAUAGACUACUUCACCUAGUGAUGGCUUCAGAAAUUCAUGAAAUUCAGCAAAUCAGACACAAUUUAUAGUUAAACUGCAAGUAGCUUCUCCUUCGAGGACAAAGAGAACCAAGAAUAUAUUUGACUUAUCUAAAAUUCUUUAUAUUGGAUUUAAACUUUCAGCCCCACUUUAAAUUAAUUGUGAAAAUUCAGUUUCUUUCAUUCGUGAAGAAGAAAAGGAAGACAUGAAAUCUAAACAGUUACAACCAAAAUCCUCAAAUCUCGCUCUGUAACUAUAACUCUUUUGCUAUGUGGUGAAAAUAGAAAAUAGGAUAGAGGUGUAAAAAACUUCAGGUGCUAACAGUGUCAAACAUUUGUCGGCAAUUUUCUAUUUUCUCCCUUACCUCCGAAGGAUGGAAAAGACCAGGGAUGCAUAAGAAAUCAAAUAAGAAAACCAGUUCAUUGAAGAUUUUUUACUAAACACCUCCACAUCAGAGGUUUUUACCUAAGGAAUCAGAAUCAGGUCAUGAAAAGAAAGAGAUGGUAGGUCGGUUGCGGUCGUUGGCUCUGGAACAAACAACAACUAUAUGAAGAUAAUAGUAAAAAGCAAUUAGCAACACACCGCAAGAUAGAAACAAAGAGCCCUAGUCCCCAUCAUCGUUGCCAACCCAGCACACUGCCCAUUGAGCAGACCAAUGAAGAAGGAAAUAGAGCCAAUCCAAGCGCAACGGAAGAGCACAAAAGGAAAAUGAUGAAAAUUAUUCUGCCUAUUUUUCAUCCUCUUAGAGGUUGCGUAGUCUAGACUCUAGAUGAUACACACAAGUAGGAGAGAGAGAGCGAAGGGAAGGGGGAGACAGAGAGAGGAUAGAGAGAGCCAGAAGGAGCAUCGAGAUAAUAAGCCUAAAAAACGUGGCAAAUCAGUUGCUGCGUAAGUAUGCAUAAGCGAAAAGACGAUAUUACCCUUGAUUUGAAAUGUAUUGCCACGAAACACACACGUCGAAAUUAUUUCUCUUCUAUAGAAUAAUAGACUAGACGGUAAUGGCACGGGCCCAAUAGUAUAGAAGCUGUAACUUUUAGUUUUAAUCAACUUCAUUUUGAUAUGAGAAUCAAGAGAACUAAAUUAGUCGGUAGUAUUUAACAUACUUUCUAAACAUUGUCAUGCAUCUUUGUUUGUGCUUCAUUAUACCAUAAGCUCAAAUUUAGCAUGCUCCAAAGAACUCCUGCCAGUAAAAAGAGCGAGUACACACGAAUACACCACACAUAGCUGCACAACAUGCAAUAAAUACAUUAGAAUCAAAAACCUCCUUCCACUCUAAUAAAAUUUAUUUCACUAAUAUAACAAAAUUAUACCAGACACAUGGAAAAAGGGGUAGCUGUAGGCAAACCCCAAUAACUGUAUCCUGCCAUAAAGGAAUUCGAGAGUAGCCGGCACAUAGGCAUAAUGAACGCAAGGAAUUCGCUCAUCAUGGUUUAUCUCUUCAUUUUCAUUUUUUCAUGAAAAAAAUAAAAGGUCUUUAUGAAGCAAGUGUACAAUUGCAUAUUGACUAUUUGAUAUGAACUUACUUUCACCUUUAUUAAUAUGCAUACUUCUUCUCUAGUACUCUAUCAUUAUUGCAGUAGUUACGUCAAUUAUAGGACGCGAAAUUUCAUUUAAGAUGCUUGCUAGAUUUUCAUCUUUUUAUGUACAAGUGUACUGGAAAAACAUUUAGGGGAAGAAGAAGAAGAAACAAACUCAUUCUUUUAUGCUC